ensembl:snRNA U6 U6 spliceosomal RNA
AUGCUCACUUUGGCAACACACAUACAGAAAUUGGACCAAUACAGAUAUUAGCAUGGCCCCUGCACAAAGAAGACACAAAAAUUCAUGAAGCACUCCAUUUUUAA